rnacentral:rRNA from 1 species
GCAAGUCGAACGGCAGCACGGUUGCUUGCACCUGUUUGCGAAUGGCGAACGGGUGGGUAAUACAUCGUAACAUGUCCUGUAGUGGGGGAUAGCCCGGCGAAAGCCGGAUUAAUACCGAAUACGAUCUACGGAUGAAAGCGGGGGACCUUCGGGCCGGGCGCUAUAGGGUUGGCCGAUGGCUGAUUAGCUAGUUGGUGGGGUAAAGGCCUACCAAGGCGACGAUCAGUAGCUGGUCUGAGAGGACGACC